GGGUCCUUGAUGAAAUCUUGGUCUUGUCUCUACCGAGGUGUUGCCUGAAAAGUCUUGCACAAUAGAGUUAUGCUGAAGCCC
ensembl:snoRNA SNORD115 Small nucleolar RNA SNORD115